UACGUAGGUGGCAAGCGUUGUCCGGAUUUACUGGGCGUAAAGGGCGCGCAGGCGGCUAUCCAAGUCAGGCGUGAAAGCCCCGGGCUUAACCUGGGAGGUGCGUCUGGGACUGGGUGGCUAGAGUUCGGGAGAGGAGAGUGGAAUUCCCAGUGUAGAGGUGAAAUUCGUAGAUAUUGGGAAGAACACCGGUGGCGAAGGCGGCUCUCUGGACCGAGACUGACGCUGAGGCGCGAAAGCGUGGGGAGCAAACAGG
rnacentral:rRNA from 1 species